ensembl:lncRNA
UUCGCAGGCAAGAUGAAGUUCAUACGGAUUUUGGCUUUGUGAUGGCAGCUUAGCCUUUGUAAGCAGGCUGAUGAUACAUUAUUUGAGCAUCAUCAGAACAGAAUCCUGGAAAGCUGAUACUCUUCUUGAUGAAUAAUCCUAUGGAAAAAUUCCUAGAGGAUAAUUCAUGACAGGAUUGCAAUACAGUGAGGAAAGGAAAAUCUUUGAUGAAGAGACAGAAGUGGAUUUUUGAAUCUCUAAUGGAUGUAGGAUGCCUACUUUUGACCUGCUGUCUUGAUUAUAUGCACCAUUGCCCUCUACUGGCCAGGAGCAGAGCUAUGAUGGGUCCUUCCAGGGGCAAAGCAGCUCACCUUCCAGAAGAUACUUCAGCUGUGUGAAGAUAACAGCUGUACCGAGAUGCCUUCUUUACUCUCAGAAAGGAGCUGGGGAUUUGCAGUAGCACAAAGUUAAGGACAGCUGCCUCUCUCAUCUCCGCUCCACUUGAAACCAUCAGGCUCUGCGCUCCCUACUGCAACAAUCUUUUCAUCCAAUCUGAUGAUAAGUAUUAGAUGUAAGAUAUCUCACCAGUGGGAAAACCCCUGCCCAUGUCUUGGGGAAUAAGGGGGUUCUGGUAGUGCACUGCUGCUGGAAUGGCUCCUAUAACAUCACCUAAUCAACCCCAUCAACUUUUGGCUGUCUGAACAACAUCAAGUUGCUGGGAACUAGGCCAGUGGCUGAACCACUGAAGGUGAGGGGUGGACCAGCAACAUGUGCUCCUGACCUCUCAGCUUAAUGAGAAGCAGUUCAGAUAUGAUUCAUAGUCUGUAUAUCUAUGGAGAUGGAGCUGGUCUGUGGAAUUCAUGGCUCUAACUAUGUACAACUACGUGAUUUCACUUGUAUCCCUAGUUUUGAUCACAAACUCCCUGGUAAGAAAUUGGCUAAAGAUAUAUGGCUGCGAUGGCUCAUGGGGUGCAUAAAAGGAGACAAACACAAAAUGGGCAACAGUACUGCUGAAAAGGAGGUCUAAGGUAUGAUGUCAGAAACAGUUUUAUGCUUUACUGUGGCUCUAAUUUCACCCUGCAGAGUGAAAGGAGAGCAACUGGUGUUGGGUUAUCCUGUAACCAAUCUAACACACUUGAGAGUUCUCCUCAUCUCACCCUACGUGCUUUGCUCCUGCUAUGCUUUUCCAGUGAAACAGUGUGAGAGUAUUGCUUCUUCAAAUCUACUGAAAACUACAGAAUCUACUCUGCAUUGUUAUUGGAUGACUUUAUUGAAGAUGUAGGUCAGCCUCACAAAUUUCCUUUGUGCACUGGGAGCUAAAAUGAGCUAACCUUCUGUCAAGCAAUGAAUUCCGGUACAUUUUUUCCACUUUUGCAAACAUUAGACUGUUUGAGUGAAUCAAGUACUUAACAUGGCAUGAUGAGGAGGAACUCUGGGGAAAAGCUAGUGAGCUCAUAGUCCAAAACUGAUGCAGUCACAGUUUUCAAAGAAAAAGAAAGAAAAAAAGCCCUCAAAUUUUCCACUAUAAUAAAAACAGAAGCAAGUGCUAGAAUAAGUAAGUUUUGACAUCCAUUGUUCAGAGUCACGAGAGUGUUAUUUCUUCUUAUAUAGCAAAGCAGCGGUUAAUUCGUAGCUCCUGGGAUUUUUUUCAAGCAUAAAUCACUACAAGGUUUUUUUUUCCCAAUAUCAAUCAGUGGUUUGUAAAAAUCUGCAGGGAGAAAUAAACCAUACAAGCUGGCAAGUAGUUUUAAAUGCCACUAAAACAACCGUGGUAGUUAUAAACAGUAAACAAAACAUGGUAACCAAUUUAAACACUAGAGAUUGUUGUAUCAUAGGAGCAUAAAUCAUUAACUUAAUAAUUUCAGCAGCAGCGACUCAAAUACAAAAUUAAGCCAACAGUACCCCCUGUGGCAAUAAUGAAGUACUGAAUAUCAUACAGAAAACAACUGACACAAUUGGUGAUUGCAGCAUGGAGAUCUUCUGAAGGAGAACCUUGGAAGAGAGACCUCCAACUGACUUCAGCACAAAUGGCUUCUCUGUUCAAACAUGUUCAAAUGUAUUAUUGUAAGCACAAUCCUGAACCGACAAGCAAUGGAGAUGAGGCUAGAGGUAUUUAAGAAAGAGAU